UACGUAGGGUGCGAGCGUUUAAUCGGAAUUACUGGGCGUAAAGCGUGCGCAGGCGGUUCGUGUGUCGGCGGUGAAAGCCCCGGGCUUAACCUGGGAAUGGCCGUUGAAACUGGCGAACUGGAGUGUGGCAGAGGGGGGUGGAAUUCCGCGUGUAGCAGUGAAAUGCGUAGAGAUGCGGAGGAACACCGAUGGCGAAGGCAGCCCCCUGGGCUGACACUGACGCUCAGGCACGAAAGCGUGGGGAGCAAACAGG
rnacentral:rRNA from 1 species